rnacentral:rRNA from 1 species
GACAGAGGGUGCAAACGUUGUUCGGAAUUACUGGGCGUAAAGCGCGUGUAGGCGGCCCUGCAAGUCGGGUGUGAAAUCCCACGGCUCAACCGUGGAAGUGCAUUCGAAACUGCAGGGCUAGAGUCCUGGAGAGGAAGGUGGAAUGCUUGGUGUAGAGGUGAAAUUCGUAGAUAUCAAGCGGAACACCGGUGGCGAAGGCGGGUCUCUGGGCCGAAACUGACGCUGAGGAGCGAAAGCGUGGGGAGCAAACAGG